rnacentral:rRNA from 1 species
GACGAACGCUGACUGCGUGCUCAACACAUGCAAGUCGAACGCUGAAGCCUGGUGCUUGCACCGGGUGGAUGAGUGGCGAACGGGUGAGUAACACGUGAGUAACCUGCCCCUGACUUCGGGAUAAGCCCGGGAAACUGGGUCUAAUACCGGAUACGACUGCCGGACGCAUGCCUGGUGGUGGAAAGUUUUUUCGGUUGGGGAUGGGCUCGCGGCCUAUCAGUUUGUUGGUGAGGUAAUGGCUCACCAAGACGACGACGGGUAGCCGGCCUGAGAGGGCGACCGGCCACACUGGGACUGAGACACGGCCCGGACUCCUACGGGAGGCAGCAGUGGGGAAUAUUGCACAAUGGGGGAAACCCUGAUGCAGCGACGCAGCGUGCGGGAUGACGGCCUUCGGGUUGUAAACCGCUUUCAGCAGGGAAGAAGCGCAAGUGACGGUACCUGCAGAAGAAGUACCGGCUAACUACGUGCCAGCAGCCGCGGUAAUACGUAGGGUACGAGCGUUGUCCGGAAUUAUUGGGCGUAAAGAGCUCGUAGGUGGUUGGUCACGUCUGCUGUGGAAACGCAACGCUUAACGUUGCGCGUGCAGUGGGUACGGGCUGACUAGAGUGCAGUAGGGGAGUCUGGAAUUCCUGGUGUAGCGGUGAAAUGCGCAGAUAUCAGGAGGAACACCGGUGGCGAAGGCGGGACUCUGGGCUGUAACUGACACUGAGGAGCGAAAGCAUGGGGAGCGAACAGGAUUAGAUACCCUGGUAGUCCAUGCCGUAAACGUUGGGCACUAGGUGUGGGGGGCAUUCCACGUUCUCCGCGCCGUAGCUAACGCAUUAAGUGCCCCGCCUGGGGAGUACGGUCGCAAGGCUAAAACUCAAAGGAAUUGACGGGGGCCCGCACAAGCGGCGGAGCAUGCGGAUUAAUUCGAUGCAACGCGAAGAACCUUACCAAGGCUUGACAUACACCGGACCGUCCUGGAAACAGGUCUUCUUCUUUGAAGCUGGUGUACAGGUGGUGCAUGGUUGUCGUCAGCUCGUGUCGUGAGAUGUUGGGUUAAGUCCCGCAACGAGCGCAACCCUCGUUCUAUGUUGCCAGCACGUGAUGGUGGGAACUCAUAGGAGACUGCCGGGGUCAACUCGGAGGAAGGUGGGGAUGACGUCAAAUCAUCAUGCCCUUUAUGUCUUGGGCUUCACGCAUGCUACAAUGGCUGGUACAGAGAGAGGCGAACCCGUGAGGGCAAGCGAAUCCCUUAAAGCCAGUCUCAGUUCGGAUCGUAGUCUGCAAUUCGGCUACGUGAAGUCGGAGUCGCUAGUAAUCGCAGAUCAGCAACGCUGCGGUGAAUACGUUCCCGGGCCU